rnacentral:tRNA from 1 species
GCGCCUGUUAGCUCAGAUGUUUAGAGCGUGGUGUUAAUAACGCCAAGGUCGCGGGUUCGAUCCCCGUGGGCGCC